GGGGACGUUCUUGGAUUCGACGGGGAUAGUUCGAGCAUGGGUUGCGGGUAGUGGGGACGCGUCCGCUUUAUCAACGCUAAAGCCAAUUAAAUGGCAAACAACAACAAUCCUACGCUUUCGCAGCUUAAUAACCUGUGAGCGUGCUCCUACUCUGCAUCGCCCAUGUGCCGGGAUAGGGGCUCAACUUUAGUGGGAUACGCUGUCUAGUCUCCGCCUGCGGCUAGCUGAAGAAGACAAUCAGGCUGACCCAACGCAAAGCCGGUUACGGGGCGUUGCUCGGGUGACAUCAAAACUGUGACUACACCCGUAGAAGCCUGUGUGGCGUUAUCUUCGGACAGGGGUUCGACUCCCCUCGUCUCCAUUA
rfam:Paenibacillus sp. MSt1 Contig_46, whole genome shotgun sequence.